AAGAUAUUAGAAAAACCAUUUCAUAGUUUUGUCAAAGCUAAAUCAUAGGCCCAACCCUAUAUAUCUUA
rnacentral:tRNA from 1 species